rnacentral:rRNA from 1 species
AGUGGGGUAACGAACGCAACCCUCGUUGCCUGUUAUAAGUAUCAGGCGAGACUGCCCCCUCACGGGGGAGGAAGGUGAGGAUGACGCCAAGUCAGCAUGUCCCUCUGAUGCCCUGGGCUGCACACGCGCUACAAUCGCCACCACAACGGGGCGCGACGGGGUAACCCUGAGCAAAUCCUAUAAAAGUGGCGCCAGUUCGGAUUGAGGUCUGCAACCCGACCUCAUGAAGCCGGAAUCGCUAGUAAUCGCGGAUCAGCCAUGCCGCGGUGAAUACGUUCUCAAGCCUUGUACUCAAAAUUAAAUGCGCU